rnacentral:rRNA from 1 species
GUAGGUGGCAAGCGUUGUCCGGAAUUAUUGGGCGUAAAGCGCGCGCAGGCGGUUCUUUAAGUCUGAUGUGAAAGCCCACGGCUCAACCGUGGAGGGUCAUUGGAAACUGGAGAACUUGAGUACAGAAGAGGAAAGCGGAAUUCCACGUGUAGCGGUGAAAUGCGUAGAGAUGUGGAGGAACACCAGUGGCGAAGGCGGCUUUCUGGUCUGUAACUGACGCUGAGGCGCGAAAGCGUGGGGAGCAAACAGGAUUAGAUACCCUGGUAGUCCACGCCGUAAACGAUGAGUGCUAAGUGUUAGGGGGGUUUUCCGCCUCUUAGUGCUGCAGCUAACGCAUUAAGCACUCCGCCUGGGAGUACGGCCGCAGGCUG